GGCCGUGCGCGUGCGCCGUCGGGGUGAGCAGGCCUCAGGAUGGCUCGGACCAUGGAACCGCUGGCUAGGAAGAUCUUCAAAGGCGUUCUGGCAGCUGAACUUGUGGGGGUUUUUGGAGCUUAUGUUUUGUUUAGAAAGAUGAACUCCAGCCAAGAUUUCAGGCAAACAAUGAGCAAGACAUUUCCCUUCGCUUUGGAAGUUUACUACAAAUGCAUUGAACAGUCUGGAAUAUAUGGAGUUAGAGAGGGCGAUCAAGAGAAGUGGUUGGAGAGCAAAAACUAAGGCCAAUCAUCACGCUCAGCUUCCCACUUCAGCUGUUUGAAACCUUUAAGGGGAAAAGAAAGAUGAGUCCAUGCCACUGUAGACUGGCCUCCCACAGAAAGUCCUGAGUGCAACUCAACUUGGGGGCGCAUGGCCUGUGGUUUCCCACCCACCGUGAAAACCCACUAUUUUGUUGCUGUUCAGAAUUUAUCUACACAAGAAACCAACAGUAUCAAUCAGGAUUAAAAUUCCACAUCAACAUGGAUGGAGUUUGUAGUAUGUGAAGCAAAAUAUAAAUUGUAAUUCAGGUCUUAUUCUUUGGGCUUGAAAAAGCUGACUGAAGUAUGUUUGUGUUAUCAAUAAACUUAAUGUUUAAUAUUUGUGAAAAUAAAAUGUCUAUUAAAAACUCA